rnacentral:rRNA from 1 species
AUUGAACGCUGGCGGCAUGCCUUACACAUGCAAGUCGAACGACGCUAGGGGCAACUCUAGCGAGUGGCGUACGGGUGAGUAAUGCAUCGGAACGUGCCCUCUCGUGGGGGAUAACCAGUCGAAAGAUUGGCUAAUACCGCAUGAGCUCGAGAGAGGAAAGCGGGGGAUCCGCAAGGACCUCGCGCGAGAGGAGCGGCCGAUGCCCGAUUAGCUAGUUGGUGGGGUAAAAGCCCACCAAGGCGACGAUCGGUAGCUGGUCUGAGAGGACGACCAGCCACACUGGGACUGGGACACGGCCCAGACUCCUACGGGAGGCAGCAGUGGGGAAUUUUGGACAAUGGGGGCAACCCUGAUCCAGCCAUGCCGCGUGUGUGAAGAAGGCCUUCGGGUUGUAAAGCACUUUCGGACGGAACGAAAUCGCGCGGGUGAACAAUCCGCGUGGAUGACGGUACCGUAAGAAGAAGCACCGGCUAACUACGUGCCAGCAGCCGCGGUAA